rnacentral:rRNA from 1 species
AUUGAACGCUGGCGGCAUGCCUUACACAUGCAAGUCGAACGGUAACAGAUCUUCGGAUGCUGACGAGUGGCGAACGGGUGAGUAUACAUCGGAACGUGCCUAGUAGUGGGGGAUAACUACUCGAAAGAGAGGCUAAUACCGCAUGAGAUCUACGGAUGAAAGCAGGGGAUUGCAAGACCUUGUGCUACUAGAGCGGCCGAUGGCAGAUUAGGUAGUUGGUGGGAUAAAAGCUUACCAAGCCGACGAUCUGUAGCUGGUCUGAGAGGACGAUCAGCCACACUGGGACUGAGACACGGCCCAGACUCCAACGGGAGGCAGCAGUGGGGAAUUUUGGACAAUGGGCGCAAGCCUGAUCCAGCAAUGCCGCGUGCAGGAUGAAGGCCUUCGGGUUGUAAACUGCUUUUGUACGGAACGAAAAGCCCUGGGUUAAUACCCUGGGGUCAUGACGGUACCGUAAGAAUAAGCACCGGCUAACUACGUGCCAGCCGCCGCGGUAAAAC